CGGUUGAUGGAGGGGGUGGUGACUGCUGUUGUUUGUGCUCUGACUCCGACCGAUACAUUCACCCUCUUGUUCCUGAGUUGGAGAUGACUGAAUUCGGUCUUAACUGUCACACCUAUGAAAGCCGAGUCCUUCAGACUGCUAUCCACCUUUCCCUCUUUGCGUGCGGAGAGGGCUGAAGGGAGGAAGGAAGUCUGAAGAGCCAUGGAGUGGAAG
rnacentral:misc_RNA from 1 species